UGGUGUUAGGGGAAAAACCAGAACGUGCACCGAGUUUAGGAAACGCUGGCCUAUAUCCACAGUAAGACAACGCCUCCUCCUCUUCCUUUCUUCUACAGCGUUUCACUCAGAUACUGAGUUUUGUGUCUCUAAAAAUAUCCAUCUUGAUAUCAUCAGUCAUGACCAGGGCGAUGAGCAAGCCAGCCGAUCCUAAUGAUCCAGAGAUUCCUCUGAUAGUGGACAUCAUCCUAACUUCAAGGAGUACACCAACACAGAGAAUGGUGCUCAAACUGGGCAAAACUGUUAUUAUAAACUGGGUGGUUCGAGCCCUGAAUGCCGAUUGGCUGAAAGCCAUGGAAAAGUCCACGCUGUCCAGUUAUGUGGUGGCGGGUGUCCAAUAUAGAAUGGAAGAACCUUCUGGACUUCUUCAAGGAAAUCUGCCAGAGAUGGGGUGAAGAAAAUACUUGCACAUCCUACAAUUACUGUUUACCUCAGUCUAUCUACAAGAGUUAUCUAGAAUGUUAUCGACCACAAGCCAGAAGACACAUUAUUCCAUCGCUGUGGAUGAUUCCAAGUACACUGGAGGAUAUUGUCCCAUGUGGCUCAGCUGGUAGAGCACGGCGCCUGCCUUCGCCAAGAUGUGGGUUUGAUUCCCAUUGGGGACCAGUAUGAAAAAAGUCAAUGUAUGCAUUCACAACUGUAAGUCGCUCUGGCUAAGAGUGUCUGCUAAAUGACUGAAAUGUUAAAAUAAUAUAUUUAUAAAAAACAUAAGCUAAGCCAGACAUAUCUAUGAUCAUUAAGUGUAUUUGUAAAAUUGUUGCAUUUCUUUAUUUUAAAUAGAUGUGUAUGUAGA